rnacentral:rRNA from 1 species
UACGAAGGGGGCUAGCGUUGCUCGGAAUCACUGGGCGUAAAGCGCACGUAGGCGGACUCUUAAGUCGGUGGUGAAAUCCUGGAGCUCAACUCCAGAACUGCCUUCGAUACUGAGAGUCUCGAGUCCGGGGAGAGGUGAGUGGAACUGCGAGUGUAGAGGUGAAAAUUCGUAGAUAUUCGCAAAGAACACCAGUGGCGAAGGCGGCUCACUGGCCCGGUACUGACGCUGAGGUGCGA